rnacentral:rRNA from 1 species
UACGUAGGUGGCUAGCGUUGUUCGGAAUUACUGGGCGUAAAGCGCGCGUAGGCGGCUUUGCAAGUGACGGGUGAAAGCCCUCGGCUUAACCGAGGAACUGCCUGUCAGACUGUAAGGCUUGAGACCGGGAGAGGUGAGUGGAAUUCCCAGUGUAGCGGUGAAAUGCGUAGAUAUUGGGAGGAACACCAGUGGCGAAGGCGGCUCACUGGACCGGAACUGACGCUGAGGCGCGAAAGCGUGGGGAGCAAACAGG